rnacentral:rRNA from 1 species
GAGUUUGAUCAUGGCUCAGGAUGAACGCUAGCGGGAGGCCUAACACAUGCAAGUCGAGGGGCAGCAUUGUAGCUUGCUACAGAUGGCGACCGGCGCACGGGUGAGUAACGCGUAUGCAACCUGCCUUACACUGAGGGAUAGCCCAUGGAAACGUGGAUUAAUACCUCAUGGUUCCUAUUUAUCGCAUGGUAAUAAGGAUAAAGAAUUUCGGUGUAAGAUGGGCAUGCGUGACAUUAGGUAGUUGGUGAGGUAACGGCUCACCAAGCCGACGAUGUCUAGGGGUUCUGAGAGGAUGAUCCCCCACACUGGUACUGAGACACGGACCAGACUCCUACGGGAGGCAGCAGUGAGGAAUAUUGGUCAAUGGGCGCAAGCCUGAACCAGCCAUCCCGCGUGUAUGAUGACGGCCUUAUGGGUUGUAAAGUACUUUUAUCUACCAAGAAAAGCAGUCACGUGUGAUUGUCUGACGGUAGUAGAUGAAUAAGCACCGGCUAACUCCGUGCCAGCAGCCGCGGUAAUACGGAGGGUGCAAGCGUUAUCCGGAUUCAUUGGGUUUAAAGGGUGCGUAGGCGGGCUUAUAAGUCAGUGGUGAAAUCUUGCGGCUCAACCGUAAAACUGCCAUUGAUACUGUAGGUCUUGAAUACACUGGAGGUAGGCGGAAUAUGU